AACGAACGCUGGCGGCGUGGAUAAGACAUGCAAGUCGAGCGGACUUCUUAAGAGCUUGCUCUUAAGAAGUUAGCGGCGGACGGGUGAGUAACACGUAGGUAACCUGCCUAUAAGACUGGGAUAACUCCGGGAAACCGGGGCUAAUACCGGAUAACAUUUUGCACCGCAUGGUGCGAAAUUGAAAGGCGGCUUCGGCUGUCACUUAUAGAUGGACCUGCGGCGCAUUAGCUAGUUGGUGAGGUAACGGCUCACCAAGGCGACGAUGCGUAGCCGACCUGAGAGGGUGAUCGGCCACACUGGGACUGAGACACGGCCCAGACUCCUACGGGAGGCAGCAGUAGGGAAUCUUCCGCAAUGGACGAAAGUCUGACGGAGCAACGCCGCGUGAGCGAUGAAGGCCUUCGGGUCGUAAAGCUCUGUUGUUAGGGAAGAACAAGUGCUAGUUGAAUAAGCUGGCACCUUGACGGUACCUAACCAGAAAGCCACGGCUAACUACGUGCCAGCCGCCGCGGUAAGAC
rnacentral:rRNA from 1 species